UGGGAAUUUUGGACAAUGGGCGAAAGCCUGAUCCAGCAAUGCCGCGUGUGUGAAGAAGGCCUUCGGGUUGUAAAGCACUUUUGUCCGGAAAGAAAUCCUUGGCUCUAAUACAGUCGGGGGAUGACGGUACCGGAAGAAUAAGCACCGGCUAACUACGUGCCAGCAGCCGCGGUAAUACGUAGGGUGCAAGCGUUAAUCGGAAUUACUGGGCGUAAAGCGUGCGCAGGCGGUUUGCUAAGACCGAUGUGAAAUCCCCGGGCUCAACCUGGGAACUGCAUUGGUGACUGGCAGGCUAGAGUAUGGCAGAGGGGGGUAGAAUUCCACGUGUAGCAGUGAAAUGCGUAGAGAUGUGGAGGAAUACCGAUGGCGAAGGCAGCCCCCUGGGCCAAUACUGACGCUCAUGCACGAAAGCGUGGGGAGCAAACAGGAUUAAUACCCUGGUAGUCCACGCCCUAAACGAUGUCAACUAGUUGUUGGGGAUUCAUUUCCUUAGUAACGUAGCUAACGCGUGAAGUUGACCG
rnacentral:rRNA from 1 species